rfam:Homo sapiens chromosome 2, GRCh38 reference primary assembly.
GCUGGGGCGCGGUGCCGGGUGCCUGUAAUCCCAGCUACUUGGGAGGCUGAGGCAGGAGAAUUGCUUGAACCCAGGAGGCAGAGGUUGCAGUGAGCCGAGAUCACGCCACUGCAGUCCAGCCUGGGUGACAGAGCAAGACUCUGUCUCAA